GACCAAUCGUCGCACAUAUUCGCGUUGUGCUGGCGAUGGCGACGGUUCUCUUUCUAA
rnacentral:pre_miRNA from 1 species